rnacentral:rRNA from 1 species
GAGUUGUUUGGGAAUGCUGCUCAAAAUGGGAGGUAAACCCCUUCUAAAGCUAAAUACCGGCCAGAGACCGAUAGCGCACAAGUAGAGUGAUCGAAAGAUGAAAAGCACUUUGAAAAGAGAGUUAAAAAGCACGUGAAAUUGUUGAAAGGGAAGCGCUUGCGACCAGACUUGCGCCCGUCGGAUCAACCGUCGCUUGCGGCGGCGCACUCCGGCGGGCUCAGGCCAGCAUCAGUUCGCUCGGGGGGAGAAAGGCGGCGGGAAUGUGGCUCCUCGGAGUGUUAUAGCCCGCCGUGUAAUACCCUCGGGUGGACUGAGGACCGCGCGUAUGCAAGGAUGCUGGCGUAAUGGUCGUCAGCNACCCGUCUUGAAACAC